rnacentral:snRNA from 1 species
GUGCUCCCUUCAGCAGCACAUCUACUGAAACUGGACCAAGAGAGAAGACUAGCAUGGCAGUGUGCAAGGAUGACACACAGAUUCGUGAAACAUACCAUAUUUUU